AAAAGAGAAAGGAAAGAAAAGAAAAGAAAAUGAAAAAGUUGUCAAGGUAGGACAUCAAGCAAAUGACCAAUCUUGACCCAUGGCUAGGUCUUCUAGACUCCUGAACCCGGAGGCAUGAAGCCUGGGUCUGGCAUAAAGCCAAAUCUUUGGGCUUUGGUUUCUCAUCUUUCAAAAGAAGGGAAUUGUUCUGCCUGCCUCCUAGGGUUACUAUGGGAACUGGGGAAAAGGAAAGAAAGGUGUGGAGGUUCCUAGGCCUUCAUGAGGUGUGGCAAAAAGGAGCCUCGGCCCACCCAGGAGGGACCCUUGAACCUGCCCUGCUCUGUGGGUCAGGGAGCAGGUUGGCCCUCAUUGAUCCUACAUUUUCAUUCUUCCCCAGGGUUUAACUGGAGCCAAGGGGGAGCCUGGCCCCAUGGGGAUCCCUGGAGUCAAGCCCGGGCUUCCUGGUCCUCCUGGCCUUCCGGGCCCUGGUUUUGCUGGACCUCCUGUAAGUCCUCAGGGAUGGGGCAGGAUCCCCAGAACUCCCAGGGAAGGAGGGGACAACAGAAAGGCUUCGAGGGAAUGGCCACCAUGGGAAGGAGCCAGCUUGCUGUGAUAGUGUCAGGAAUAAGUGGACCUGCCAGAGACCCAGGGCCAGCCCACUCUGGGCCUGUCCACUGGCUCUGCAAUUCUCUGGUCCUUAAAGCCUCAGUCUGUCAGUCUCUCUGGGGUUGGC
rnacentral:lncRNA from 1 species